GAGUUUGAUCAUGGCUCAGGGUGAACGCUGGCGGCGUGCCUAAUACAUGCAAGUCGAACGCCCUGCACAGUGCGCUUCUUAUAAAGUAAAAAGAAGCGUAGCGUGCAGGGAGUGGCGAACGGGUGAGUAACACGUUGGAACCUGCCUCAAAGUAAGGGAUAGUCCACCGAAAGGUGGAGUAAUACCUUAUAGUCUCUUCGGAGUAAAGAUUUAUCGCUUUGAGAGGGUCCCGCGGCCGAUUAGCUAGUUGGUAAGGUAAUGGCUUACCAAGGCGACGAUCGGUAGCUGGUCUGAGAGGAUGAUCAGUCACACUGGAACUGAGACACGGUCCAGACUCCUACGGGAGGCAGCAGUAGGGAAUCUUCCACAAUGGGCGCAAGCCUGAUGGAGCAACGCCGCGUGCAGGAUGAAGGCUUUCGGGUCGUAAACUGCUUUUAUAUGGGAAGAUUAUGCCGGUACCAUAUGAAUAAGAGUUGGCUAACUCCGUGCCAGCCGCCGCAGUAAG
rnacentral:rRNA from 1 species